AUCUCACCUUCUGACAUCACUUCUCAUCCUUUCGAAUCUCCUAUCUCAUACCCGAUCCACCUCCACCUGGAGCUUCACCUCGCUCUAAGAUUCACCUGGCUCCUGAUGCUCCACCUCACACUGGGCUCCCCAUCAGGUAAUAAUGUCCUCUCUUCUCUUUCUUCCCCACCAGAGCAAUCCUAUCGCCGCAUAGCACCUUCAGGAUUCCUCCGCCAAC
rnacentral:lncRNA from 1 species